ACGUUUUUAAAGGGCCCAUAGUCUUUUGGCAGGAGGCUGUCAAGCAGGCCCCUGCAAGAACACGUGGCAGAGACCUUUCUGCCACAGCAGACAAUGUAAUAGAGCAGCAGGAAAUACUAACAGAAUGCUUGGUUGUAUAGGGAGGUAUUAGAAGUCGAAAGUGCUCAUACCAUUGUACCGUGAGACCUAACUUGGAGUAUUGUACACACUACUGGAGAACGUAUCUUCAGGAGGUUCAGAGAAGGGCUACUAAACUGGUUCAUGGAUUGCACGAUAAAAC